rnacentral:rRNA from 1 species
UACGUAGGGUGCGAGCGUUGUCCGGAAUUAUUGGGCGUAAAGGGCUCGUAGGCGGUUUGUCGCGUCGGGAGUGAAAACCUCGGGCUUAACUCGGGGCUUGCUUUCGAUACGGGCAGACUGGAGGUAUGCAGGGGAGAACGGAAUUCCUGGUGUAGCGGUGAAAUGCGUAGAUAUCGGGAGGAACACCAGUGGCGAAGGCGGCUUUCUGGUCUGUUCUUGACGCUGAGGCGCGAAAGCUAGGGUAGCAAACGGG